UAGGGAAUCUUCCGCAAUGGACGAAAGUCUGACGGAGCAACGCCGCGUGAGUGAAGAAGGAUUUCGGUUCGUAAAACUUUGUUGUUAGGGAAGAAAAAAUGUAUAGUAACUAUAUACAAAAGAGACGGUACCUAACCAGAAAGCCACGGCUAACUACGUGCCAGCAGCCGCGGUAAUACGUAGGUGGCAAGCGUUGUCCGGAAUUAUUGGGCGUAAAGCGCGCGCAGGUGGUUUAGAAAGUCUGAUGUGAAAGCCCACGGCUCAACCGUGGAGGGUCAUUGGAAACUAAUAAACUUGAGUGCAGGAGAGAAAAGUGGAAUUCCUAGUGUAGCGGUGAAAUGCGUAGAGAUUAGGAGGGACACCGGUGGCGAAAGCGGCUUUUUGGCCUGCAACUGACACUGAGGCGCGAAAGCGUGGGGAGCAAACAGG
rnacentral:rRNA from 1 species